rnacentral:rRNA from 1 species
CGCCUAACACAUGCAAGUCGAACGAAGUAGCAAUACUUAGUGGCAGACGGGUGAGUAACAUGUAGGUAUCUACCCUUUGGCCUGGAAUAACACGAGGAAACUUGUGCUAAUACCGGAUAAGUCUUUACAGAGAAAGCUUUAUGCACCAUUGGAUGAGCCUGCACUUGAUUAGUUUGUUGGUGGGGUAAUGGCCUACCAAGACUGUGAUCAAUAGCUGAUUUGAGAGGAUGAUCAGCCACAUUGGGACUGAGACACGGCCCAAACUCCUACGGGAGGCAGCAGUGGGGAAUCUUGCACAAUGGAGGAAACUCUGAUGCAGCGAUGCCGCGUGAGUGAAGAAGGCCUUUGGGUUGUAAAGCUCUUUCGUCGGGGAAGAAAAUGACUGUACCCGAAUAAGAAGGUCCGGCUAACUUCGUGCCAGCAGCCGCGGUAAUACGAAGGGACCUAGCGUAGUUCGGAAUUACUGGGCUUAAAGAGUUCGUAGGUGGUUGAAAUAGUUGGUGGUGAAAUCCCAGAGCUUAACUCUGGAACUGCCAUCAAAACUUUUCAGCUAGAGUAUGAUAGAGGAAAGCAGAAUUUCUAGUGUAGAGGUGAAAUUCGUAGAUAUUAGAAAGAAUACCAAUUGCGAAGGCAGCUUUCUGGAUCAUUACUGACACUGAGGAACGAAAGCAUGGGUAGCGAAGAGGAUUAGAUACCCUCGUAGUCCAUGCCGUAAACGAUGUGUGUUAGACGUUGGAAAUUUAUUUUCAGUGUCGCAGCGAAAGCGAUAAACACACCGCCUGGGGAGUACGACC